GAUGAACGCUGGCGGCGUGCUUAACACAUGCAAGUCGAACGAUGAAGCCCAGCUUGCUGGGUGGAUUAGUGGCGAACGGGUGAGUAACACGUGAGUAACCUGCCCUUGACUCUGGGAUAAGCCCGGGAAACUGGGUCUAAUACCGGAUAGGAGCGCCUGUCGCAUGACGGGUGUUGGAAAGAUUUUUCGGUCAUGGAUGGACUCGCGGCCUAUCAGCUUGUUGGUGAGGUAAUGGCUCACCAAGGCGACGACGGGUAGCCGGCCUGAGAGGGUGACCGGCCACACUGGGACUGAGACACGGCCCAGACUCCUACGGGAGGCAGCAGUGGGGAAUAUUGCACAAUGGGCGGAAGCCUGAUGCAGCGACGCCGCGUGAGGGAUGACGGGCCCUUUCGGGUUGUAAAACCUUCUUUUCAAGUAAGGGAAAG
rnacentral:rRNA from 1 species